rnacentral:rRNA from 1 species
UACGUAGGGACCAAGCGUUGUUCGGAUUUAUUGGGUUUAAAGGGUGCGUAGGCGGCCCUGUAAGUCAGUGCUGAAAUAUCCCGGCUUAACCGGGAGGGUGGCAUUGAUACUGCGGUGCUUGAGGACUGGAGAGGAGACUGGAAUUCAUGGUGUAGCAGUGAAAUGCGUAGAGAUCAUGAGGAAGACCGGUGGCGAAGGCGGGUCUCUGGACAGUUCCUGACACUGAGGCACGAAGGCCAGGGGAGCAAACGGG